rnacentral:lncRNA from 1 species
CAAUGGCUAGUCCAUAGCAGCUAGCAGAACGAAGAGAAAUGGAUGGAGCACCAAGUGAUGGGACAUAUGCUCUCAACCACAGUUGAGUGAACCAAAGAGGCCCACUACCAGUGGGAGAUGUACCAUUCUUCAAUUGAAAUUGAAGAGAAGCCAUGCCUCUAUAAAGGGCAACCAAAAAGAAGGAAUACAAAUUCAAAGGCCUACCACGCGCCAAUUCAUACGCUAUAGGUAAGUAACUCAUGGAAGGCUUCAUACUUGGCACGCAGAGAAUAUAUUUACAUAGCCAAAUUUGAAGAAAGGUCACACGCUCAGCAUGGGAAGGUUCAGCGUUUGAGUGAUUAUAAAAGCCUUGUAGGCUUGAGUAGGACUCAGUGAGUUUCUUGUCAAAUUUCGGGGCGACACCGGAAAUCAAAAUACCAGGGAAAAUGGUAUCACCCAAAGGUGGAAGAUUUACUAGGGCCCCAACAUCCUUUAAAGUAAUAGACAUGGGACCAAGAGAGAAAACAAAAGUAUUAUAUUCAAAAGACCAAAAACUUAAAGUAAUAGGAAAAAGCACUGGGUCAAAAUUUGGGGGUUGAAGAGCGAUUUCUAAUAAAUCAGAAAUCCUAG